rnacentral:rRNA from 1 species
GACGAACGCUGGCGGCGUGCUUAACACAUGCAAGUCGAACGGAAAGGCCCUGCUUUUGUGGGGUGCUCGAGUGGCGAACGGGUGAGUAACACGUGAGUAACCUGCCCUUGACUUUGGGAUAACUUCAGGAAACUGGGGCGAAUACCGGAUAGGAUCUCCUGCUGCAUGGUGGGGGUUGGAAAGUUUCGGCGGUUGUGGAUGGACUCGCGGCUUAUCAGCUUGUUGGUGAGGUAGUGGCUUACCAAGGCUUUGACGGGUAGCCGGCCUGAGAGGGUGAACGGCCACCUUGGGACUGAGAUACGGACCAGACUGCUACGGGCGGCAGUAGUGGGGAAUAUUGCACAAUGGGCGGAAGCCUGAUGCAGCAACGCCGCGUGCGGAAUGCCGGCCUUCGGGUUGUAAACCGAUUUCGACUGUGACGAAGCGUGAGUGACGGUAAUGGGUAAAGAAGCAACGGCUAACUACGUG